AUGAACGCUGGCGGCGUGCCUAAUACAUGCAAGUCGAGCGAACAGAUGAGGAGCUUGCUCCUCUGACGUUAGCGGCGGACGGGUGAGUAACACGUGGAUAACCUACCUAUAAGACUGGGAUAACUUCGGGAAACCGGAGCUAAUACCGGAUAAUAUAUUGAACCGCAUGGUUCAAUAGUGAAAGACGGUUUUGCUGUCACUUAUAGAUGGAUCCGCGCCGCAUUAGCUAGUUGGUAAGGUAACGGCUUACCAAGGCAACGAUGCGUAGCCGACCUGAGAGGGUGAUCGGCCACACUGGAACUGAGACACGGUCCAGACUCCUACGGGAGGCAGCAGUAGGGAAUCUUCCGCAAUGGGCGAAAGCCUGACGGAGCAACGCCGCGUGAGUGAUGAAGGUCUUCGGAUCGUAAAACUCUGUUAUUAGGGAAGAACAAAUGUGUAAGUAACUAUGCACGUCUUGACGGUACCUAAUCAGAAGGCCACGGCUAACUACGUG
rnacentral:rRNA from 1 species